rnacentral:lncRNA from 1 species
GUUUAGGCAAUGGAAGAGAGGAAAUAAAGCCAAUGGAGAAUUAAGGAUGUCUCAUCCUUUGAAGAUCUGAAGAAAAUGUUAAAGAUCUCUAACAGCAAAAACACUGAUCUUCAGAAGCAGCUUGAGGUAGGAAUAAAAGUCCUACCAGAAGGGCUCAGCACUCUCCAGAGAAGGCAAUAAACUUUCCUGGGGUGUGGAAAUCUGCAUUCUUUCAACUGCCUCAGAAAUGCUUUAUGAAGACACCACCUCAGUUUGGUCCUUUGGGAUUGUCUGGAGCCUCUUUGCUUUUAUCAGCCAGUUACUGUCACUAGGAGAGCAACUUUACCCUUGAACACUUUUGCAAACAAAGUGUGCUGAAGUGUGGCUGUACCACAGCUGCAGCACGGCUUGGGGUGUGCAGCCACUGCAGAUGAAGAUGUGACCAUGGUGUGGAGAUGCCUGCUCAGUGUUUGGUUGUGGCCUUUGUAUCUGGCUCAGGGAUUAAGUUCUGUCUUGAGUUUGCUUUAAAUGAAAGGAACCUUGGCAUCACUUCAGCAUCACUGUUAGCCACAAGGAGAUGGAGGAUGUACAGAUGAGGACCACAAAUCUGCACCAUAAAAGGGAACUAAAGGGUGAAUCAUGACUGAUGAGAAAUGAAACAGGAUUUGCAUUUCACAGUGACUCAUCCUCUGCUAAAAUAGCUGACAGCACCUGAAACAAGCCAGUAAAGGAUCAUGUCAAGGCAGACAGCACUGGUUCAUUUGAGCAAGACUUCCCAUUUUCUAAAUUUGUUGCUGUGUUUGUGGACUUCAGAUAUGUUUGGCUCUGACAACAAAGCUUCACGAAACAAACCUCUAAUUUCCUUCCUAUCUGAGAUAAUUCAUUUUUUAAUUCUGGAAAACAAAUGGUGCAGCAAUUUCACAUACAUCCAAGCUGCCAGAAAUUCCAAAAUGUUAUUUUGUUUCCCCAAGCUAUGUGUUAUGGGAGCAGUGCAUGUGGUUCCUGUUGCAGAGCUCCUGCUCCUCACCAUCGGUGUUUAUCAGGAGCCAGGUGUGCCUGUGCAGGAGGGCAGCAAUGCUUCAGGGCUCCGUAUGUUCUCAU